rnacentral:lncRNA from 1 species
AAAAACAAUUAUUACAAAAACAUGUAACCCUUGUUUUAGAGUGUUACACAGCAGUCUUACAAUAACUGUCAGGUUGUUUGCCAUGAAAAAAAUUUCCACAAACAUUUGACAAGAAAACAAUUGGUCUGACAAAAGAAAAUACUAUUGUUUUACUAAAAUUAAUGUUAAUCGAUCGUUGUACAUAUCUUACGACUCAAUGUUGGUGAAUGCUUGAAUUUGUACUUAUCAUAAUUUGUACAUGUAUUUAUCAAAUUAUUUACAUGUGUCCCCAUUGUGACUUUUUAUCAUAAUGAAUAUUGUAAAAAUACGAAUACUUUUAGAUUUGGACUCUUAAAACUGUACUCGUAUACAGUUGUACCUUAUCUGAUUAAUCAUAUGAUCGGACUAAAACUUGAAUCUCAACCCAAAAGUAUGUAUUGUGGAGACGAUAUUAAUGUUUUCCUCUUUGAGUGACAUAAAGAAGUUCGUUUAAAAAAUGACUUCGUUUCAAUUGUGAUUAGAAGCUAUCAUUAUAGAAUUUGUUAAUAAUUCAUUUUUGUAAAAAGGUUAUCAUAUGUGAUACUACUAAAUAAUGUGCUUUGAUUAAAGCUUGUACGAUAUAAACAACAAAUAAAAGUUGUUUCUUGUAUAGCCCUCAUACAACAGAAAAAAUUUAAGAAAGACGAUGCAGCACACAUUGAUAAGAGGAAACAGUAGUUACCUGAUGUACCAAGCUCGAUCAUCCAUACUUCGUCAAAAUGUAACGUUAUGUAAUAUGACAAAAAAGUCAAUUUCAAAGAUUCGACUACUAUUCUAGCAUCUUUAGGAAUAUAACCGAUAGUUUAUGCCCAAUUUUAAAGAUGAUACAUAUGUAUUUGAAAAAAAUACCGAACUCAAAGGUUAAAUUCAAAAAAGGGAAGUACAAAAAAAUUGACGUUAUCAAACAACAGAACGAAAAAAAAAAUGCCAUAUUCUUGACUGGGUAAAUCCAUUUUCCGAAGAAGUACUACAACUUACACUAAAUGUAGCUGUUAUGUUUUAAAUGGGUAAAUUAAUUUGGUAACAUUAGUAUCAAAUGAAAGCUAAUUAAAUUGAAUCCUUUAAAAUCUUUAUUAGUAGUUUCUUUUGAAUAAUGAAAAAAAUAAUGUUGAAUUUUGCCUUUAGCUCAGAUGAAAAGUAAUUUUGUGUAGUACUCAGUCAGAACUUAUAUGCAAUUUAAGGUAUUUCAGUUUUUCAGCACAACACAGGAUAAGGUAUAGUUUUGACAAGAAAUGAACGUCACUUUGUUUAAUCUAAUCAGACAAAUCCUUUGAAUACUGGCAAUUGCAUUUUAGUUGUUUUUUUAUCAAAGGAGUAGGAAAUUUGUCAAGUCUAGCUUGCAGUGAUGUUAAUGUAAUAACCUUAUUUCAUUCUACCUUAUGACGGAGCGUAGUCACGGGGAACACAUCAUCGUCGGGCGAUUGUAAAAUUAUCUUCCAAAUCUAGAUCGCCCUCUUGGAGCUUUCAUGACUAUCCUUCACAUUUUCACUUUCCGCUAGGUUACAUUACAUUAUAAAUGUUCUUUUUCACUGCCUGUUAAUUUUCUGGAAUGUUUGGAAGAUUGAACCCUUGACAUGGGAUUCUUUAUCUUAAUACAUUUUCUCCAUAAUGCAUACUGGUCAGCAUAAUAUGCGAUGUUGCUCUUUUCCGUCUUUUUGAACCAGCAAGAUUGGAGUCUUAACACGAUAACAAGAGGUCGUUCA